UCCAGAACAAGUUUCUGCCAACUGUGUGCUU
rnacentral:piRNA from 1 species